rnacentral:rRNA from 1 species
GACGAACGCUGGCGGCGUGCUUAACACAUGCAAGUCGAACGGAAAGGCCCGGCUUUUGUGGGUGGCUCGAGUGGCGAACGGGGGAGUAACACGUGAGUAACCUCCCCUUGACUUUGGGAUAACUUCAGGAAACUGGGGCUAUUACCGGAUAGGAGCUCCUGCUGCAUGGUGGGGGUUGGAAAGUUUCGGCGGUUGGGGAUGGACUCGCGGCUUAUCAGCUUGUUGGUGGGGUAGUGGCUUACCAAGGCUUUGACGGGUAGCCGGCCUGAGAGGGUGACCGGCCACAUUGGGACUGAGAUACGGCCCAGACUCCUACGGGAGGCAGCAGUGGGGAGUAUUGCACAAUGGGCGGAAGCCUGAUGCAGCAACGCCGCGUGCGGGAUGACGGCCUUCGGGUUGUAAACCGCUUUCGCCUGUGACGAAGCGUGAGUGACGGUAAUGGGUAAAGAAGCACCGGCUAACUACGUG